UACGUAGGGUGCGAGCGUUGUCCGGAAUUAUUGGGCGUAAAGGGCUCGUAGGCGGUUUGUCGCGUCGGGAGUGAAAACCAGGUGCUUAACACCUGGCUUGCUUUCGAUACGGGCAGACCAGAGGUAUUCAGGGGAGAACGGAAUUCCUGGUGUAGCGGUGAAAUGCGCAGAUAUCAGGAGGAACACCGGUGGCGAAGGCGGUUCUCUGGGAAUGACCUGACGCUGAGGAGCGAAAGUGUGGGGAGCGAACAGG
rnacentral:rRNA from 1 species